rnacentral:pre_miRNA from 4 species
UCUAAGAAAUAUUCCUUGACCAAGUUGAAAUUAAUGAGAAUAGGUUUCAACUUGGUCAAGGAAUAUUUCUUAGA